AUACGGCCAUAUCCCGUUGAAACACCGGUUCUUGCCUUACACUGAAGUUAAGCAACGCUGAGCCCGGUCAGUACCUAGAUCGGUGAACGCGUGGGAAUACCAGAUGCUGUAAG